AUUGAACGCUGGCGGCAGGCCUAACACAUGCAAGUCGAGCGGCAGCGGGAAAGUAGCUUGCUACUUUUGCCGGCGAGCGGCGGACGGGUGAGUAAUGCCUGGGAAAUUGCCCAGUCGAGGGGGAUAACAGUUGGAAACGACUGCUAAUACCGCAUACGCACUACGGGGGAAAGCAGGGGACCUUCGGGCCUUGCGCGAUUGGAUAUGCCCAGGUGGGAUUAGCUAGCUGGUGAGGUAAUGGCUCACCAAGGCGACGAUCCCUAGCUGGGCUGAGAGGAUGAUCAGCCACACUGGAACUGAGACACGGUCCAGACUACUACGGGAGGCAGAAGUGGGGAAUAUUGGACGAUGGGGGAAACCCUGAUGCGGCCAGGCCGCGUGUGUGAAGAAGGCCUUCGGGUUGUAAAGCACUUUCAGCGAGGAGGAAAGGUUGAUGCCUAAUACGUAGCAACUGUGACGUUACUCGCAGAAGAAGCACCGGCUAACUCCGUGCCAGCCGCCGCGGUAAAAC
rnacentral:rRNA from 1 species